AGAGUUUGAUCCUGGCUCAGGAUGAACGCUAGCGACAGGCCUAACACAUGCAAGUCGAGGGGCAGCGGGCCCUGGCGACAGGGCGCCGGCGACCGGCGCACGGGUGCGUAACGCGUAUGCAACCUGGCCCGAGCAGGGGGGCAGCCUCCCGAAAGGGAGAUUAAUACCCCGUACGAGGCGGCCCCGCAUGGGGCGGCCUGGAAAGCCGCGAGGCGGCUCGGGAUGGGCAUGCGUCCCAUUAGGUAGACGGCGGGGCAGCGGCCCACCGUGCCGACGAUGGGUAGGGGAUCUGAGAGGACGGCCCCCCACACUGGCACUGAGACAGGGGCCAGACUCCUACGGGAGGCAGCAGUGAGGAAUAUUGGUCAAUGGGCGGGAGCCUGAACCAGCCAAGUCGCGUGCCGGACGAAGGCCCUACGGGUCGCAGACGGCUUUUGCGGGGGGAUAGCGGUGGCGACUUGUCGCCAUGUGAAGGUACCCCGCGAAUAAGGAUCGGCCAACUCCGUGCCAGCAGCCGCGGUAAUACGGAGGAUCCGAGCGUUAACCGGAAUCAUUGGGUUUAAAGGGUGCGCAGGCGGGCCUGCAAGCCCGCGGUGAAACCCCGGGGCUCAACCCCGGGCCUGCCGCGGGAACUGCCGGCCUUGAGUCGUGACGAGGGCGGCGGAACGCGGGGUGUAGCGGUGAAAUGCUUAGAUACCCCGCAGAACCCCGAUUGCGAAGGCAGCCGCCCAGGGACGCACUGACGCUGAGGCACGAAGGCAUGGGGAUCGAACAGGAUUAGAUACCCUGGUAGUCCAUGCAGUAAACGAU
rnacentral:rRNA from 1 species